GGCUGAUCUGACUGUAAUGGUGUUUAUAACUAAUUGACCACAACCAGUUACAGGUUUCUUUGUUCCUUCUUCACCGCCACUGCUUCACUUGACUAGCCUUAA
rnacentral:Y_RNA from 1 species